AUUGAACGCUGGCGGCAGGCUUAACACAUGCAAGUCGAGCGGAGAUGAGGUGCUUGCACCUUAUCUUAGCGGCGGACGGGUGAGUAAUGCUUAGGAAUCUGCCUAUUAGUGGGGGACAACAUUCCGAAAGGAAUGCUAAUACCGCAUACGUCCUACGGGAGAAAGCAGGGGAUCUUCGGACCUUGUGCUAAUAGAUGAGCCUAAGUCGGAUUAGCUAGUUGGUGGGGUAAAGGCCUACCAAGGCGACGAUCUGUAGCGGGUCUGAGAGGAUGACCCGCCACACUGGGACUGAGAAACGGCCCAGACUCCUACGGUAGGCAGCAGUGGGGAAUAUUGGACAAUGGGGGAAACCCUGAUCCAGCCAUGCCGCGUGUGUGAAGAAGGCCUUAUUGUUGUAAAGCACUUUAAGCGAGGAGGAGGCUACUGAGACUAAUACUCUUGGAUAGUGGACGUUACUCGCAGAAUAAGCACCGGCUAACUCUGUGCCAGCCGCCGCCGUAA
rnacentral:rRNA from 1 species